AGAGUUUGAUCCUGGCUCAGAAUGAACGCUGGCGGCGUGCUUAACACAUGCAAGUCGUACGAGAACGCUUUAGCUUGCUAGAGCUAGUAAAGUGGCGUACGGGUGAGUAACGCGUGGGUAAUCUACCCUUGAAUUCGGGAUAACAUUGCGAAAGCGAUGCUAAUACCGGAUAACAUCAUAAUCGUUGCGACGAUUAUGAUCAAAGGUGGCCUCUAUAUAUAAGCUACUGUUUAAGGAUGAGCCCGCGUACCAUUAGCUUGUUGGUAGGGUAAAGGCCUACCAAGGCGACGAUGGUUAGCUGGUCUGAGAGGAUGAUCAGCCACACUGGAACUGACACACGGUCCAGACUCCUACGGGAGGCAGCAGUGAGGAAUUUUGCGCAAUGGGGGAAACCCUGACGCAGCAACGCCGCGUGAGUGAUGAAGGCCUUUGGGUCGUAAAGCUCUGUCAAGUGGGAAGAACCUGUUUCAGGCCAAUAUCCUGAGACACUGACGGUACCACUGAAGGAAGCACCGGCUAACUCCGUGCCAGCAGCCGCGGUAAUACGGGGGGUGCAAGCGUUAUUCGGAAUUAUUGGGCGUAAAGGGCGCGCAGGCGGCCUGGUAAGUCAGAUGUGAAAUCCCGGGGCUCAACCCUGGAAGUGCAUUUGAUACUGUUAGGCUUGAGUAUGGGAGAGGGAAGUGGAAUUCCUGGUGUAGAGGUGAAAUUCGUAGAUAUCAGGAGGAACAUCGGUGGCGAAGGCGACUUCCUG
rnacentral:rRNA from 1 species